rnacentral:rRNA from 1 species
AUGUUGUUGCAGUUAAAAAGCUCGUAGCCGACUCUCGGGGCGGUGUCAACGGUCCGCAGAAAUGUGAGCACUGUUGUCUCCGCCUCUUCCUUCUGGACACCAUGUCUUCUCUUAACUGAGCGGAUGUGGGGGCCAGAUCGUUCACUUUGAACAAAUUAGAGUGUUCAAAGCAGGCCUCCGCCUGAAUACUUGAGCAUGGAAUGAUAUCAAUAGGUCCUUCCUCCCCGUUUAUUGGUGAUGGGGAGGAAGGAAAUGAGAAAGGGGAAUGGUUGGGGCCAUUCGUACUGCAGCGUUAGAGGUGAAAUUCUUGGAUCGCUGCAAGACGAACAACAGCGAAAGCAUUUGGCAAGAACGUUUCCACCGGUCAAGAACGAAAGUUAAGGGAUCGAAGACGAUCAGAUACCGUCGUAGUCUUAACCAUAAACUAUGCCGACUAGAGAUCGGUGGAUGUUAUUAUAUGACUCCAUCAGCAUCUUAUGAGAAAUCAAAGUCUUUGGGUUCCGGGGGGAGUAUGGUCGCAAGGCUGAAACUUAAAGGAAUUGACGGAAGGGCACCACCAGGAGUGGAGCCUGCGGCUUAAUUUGACUCAACACGGGGAAACUUACCAGGUCCAGACAUAGUAAGGAUUGACAGAUUGAGAGCUCUUUCUUGAUUCUAUGGGUGGUGGUGCAUGGCCGUUCUUAGUUGGUGGAGUGAUUUGUCUGGUUAUUCCGUUAACGAACGAGACCUUAACCUGCUAAAUAGUUGCACGGAUCAACGAUCCGUGACGGCUUCUUAGAGGGACUAUCGGUGUCUAAUCGAUGGAAGUUUGAGGCAAUACAGG